CUAAUAAUCGCGACGAAGGAACUGAGAUUUUCUCUCUCACAACUUAACGCUUACCUGAGGAUCUCAACUGCAGUAAAAUGAGUUCCUCUGACACCAACUCAGAGAAGAAGUUCACUUUGCGAUCCGCGGAAUCGAUUCAGAAAUCGUUUCCACUAUUGGCGAGUACAACAUCUGUGCAUCUGGCAGUGAAAGAUGGCAAGAUCACCCCAAACGAGGGACGGAAAUUAGGACAGCAGAUAUUUCAGGCGAACAAGGACGCGACCAAUCUUCAAAUAAUAAACUCCAACCUGCGUAAAUA